GGGGAAGGCUGCGCCAGGCGGGCCGGAAGCCUGGCGGUGGCGUGCAGGAGCCCCGCCCUCCUGGGCUGGAUUCAGCCGGGGGCGGGGCCGCGGGCGGGGCCUGUGGCAGCGGGAAUCCCGACCCCGCCCCUUUCCCCACCCCUCCAUUUCUCGCCAUGGCCCCUGCACUGCUCCUGAUCCCUGCUGCCCUCGCCUCUUUCAUCCUGGCCUUUGGCACCGGAGUGGAGUUCGUGCGCUUUACCUCCCUUCGGCCACUUCUUGGAGGGAUCCCGGAGUCUGGUGGUCCGGCUGGUGAUGCGGUACUGGGAGCCCAUACCCAAAGGCCCUGUGUUGUGGGAGGCUCGGGCUGAGCCAUGGGCCACCUGGGUGCCGCUCCUCUGCUUUGUGCUCCAUGUCAUCUCCUGGCUCCUCAUCUUUAGCAUCCUUCUCGUCUUUGACUAUGCUGAGCUCAUGGGCCUCAAACAGGUAUACUACCAUGUGCUGGGGCUGGGCGAGCCUCUGGCCCUGAAGUCUCCCCGGGCUCUCAGACUCUUCUCCCACCUGCGCCACCCAGUGUGUGUGGAGCUGCUGACAGUGCUGUGGGUGGUGCCUACCCUGGGCACGGACCGUCUCCUCCUUGCUUUCCUCCUUACCCUCUACCUGGGCCUGGCUCACGGGCUUGAUCAGCAAGACCUCCGCUACCUCCGGGCCCAGCUACAAAGAAAACUCCACCUGCUCUCUCGGCCCCAGGAUGGGGAGGCAGAGUGAGGAGCUCACUCUGGUUACAAGCCCUGUUCUUCCUCUCCCACUGAAUUCUAAAUCCUUAACAUCCAGGCCCUGGCUGCUUCAUGCCAGAGGCCCAAAUCCAUGGACUGAAGGAGAUGCCCCUUCUACUACUUGAGACUUUAUUCUCUGGGUCCAGCUCCAUACCCUAAAUUCUGAGUUUCAGCCACUGAACUCCAAGGUCCACUUCUCACCAGCAAGGAAGAGUGGGGUAUGGAAGUCAUCUGUCCCUUCACUGUUUAGAGCAUGACACUCUCCCCCUCAACAGCCUCCUGAGAAGGAAAGGAUCUGCCCUGACCACUCCCCUGGCACUGUUACUUGCCUCUGCGCCUCAGGGGUCCCCUUCUGCACCGCUGGCUUCCACUCCAAGAAGGUGGACCAGGGUCUGCAAGUUCAACGGUCAUAGCUGUCCCUCCAGGCCCCAACCUUGCCUCACCACUCCCGGCCCUAGUCUCUGCACCUCCUUAGGCCCUGCCUCUGGGCUCAGACCCCAACCUAGUCAAGGGGAUUCUCCUGCUCUUAACUCGAUGACUUGGGGCUCCCUGCUCUCCCGAGGAAGAUGCUCUGCAGGAAAAUAAAAGUCAGCCUUUUUCUACAUA
rnacentral:lncRNA from 1 species